rnacentral:SRP_RNA from 11 species
GGGCUGCUGUUCGCCGUGAUCAUCUCUCGCGUGUCGACGCUCAGCAACUCUCUCGUCGCACAGGAGAACCUGGCGGAGGCGAGGAAGGCGGAUAUCUUGGCGUUUAUGAAGCUGCGCAACGUGCCGGUGGAAAUGCAGCA